CCUACGGGGGGCAGCAGUGAGGAAUAUUGGUCAAUGGGCGGAAGCCUGAACCAGCCAAGUCGCGUGCGGGAUGAAGGCCCUACGGGUCGUAAACCGCUUUUGCCCGGGGAUAACACCCUCCACUUGUGGAGGUCUGCAGGUACCUUGCGAAUAAGGGCCGGCUAACUCCGUGCCAGCAGCCGCGGUAAUACGGAAGGCCCGAGCGUUAUCCGGAUUUAUUGGGAUUAAAGGGAGCGUAGGCGGGCGUUCAAGUCAGCGGUAAAAUCGCGCGGCUCAACCGCGCCCCGCAGUUGAAACUGGACGCCUUGAGUUGAAGACAGGUAGGCGGAAUGCGUGGUGUAGCGGUGAAAUGCAUAGAUAUCACGAAGAACCCCGAUUGCGAAGGCAGCCUGCCGGGGUGCGACUGACGCUGAGGCUCGAAGGUGUGGGUAUCAAACAGGAUUAGAGACCCUUGUAGUC
rnacentral:rRNA from 1 species